CCAUGCAGAGAAUCAUAGAAUCAUUAAGGUUGAAAAGACCACUGAGAUCAUUAAGUCCAACCCCAGCCCACCCCACCAUGUCCCUCAGUGCAAUGUCCCCACAGAACACCUCCAGCUGACAGCUUCUGCAGGAGAAUUCUGCAGGUGAAUUUCAAAUAGAAGAAAUGGGAGAAGUUCAACUAAAACUAUGGGUGUUCAAGUAGCAAAUUGGGUGUGGAGUGCUGCAGGGCUGUCUCAAGAGAGCUGUAGCAGCUGUGCAGCACCAGAGGAAGGGAAGGCAUCACUGCAAGGAAGAGGGGUCCAGCGCUGGGGAUGGCACCGCACAUCUUGCAGCUGAAGGCUGAAACGCACAGAAACCUUGGGGGAGCAGUUGCUGCCACAGCUGGGUCCAAACCUUGAAAUAGUUAUUUUUCCAAGCAAGUCUUUUCCUAGUGCUUCUUGUUAGGGAACACACUAUGCAGAAUAAUUUAAGAUUACCUCUGGUCUAUUUUACAGAGCUGGAAUAACGUAACAGGCAUCUGUGUAAAAACUUGUGCUUGUGGGUUACCUGUGUGGAAACCACCAAAAAAGGCCUACCCAGCUAGCUGAUUUGAAAGCUGUGAUAUGGUAUGUACAGAAAGCAUUAACUAAUACACUGUCUUUACACCUAUUUCACAAUGUUUAAUCGCCUAGGCAUAAAAUGGUAUCUCGGACAUCUUUUCUCCAAAAUAACAUAGAGAAAUCGCAAAGGUUGACAGAGCUGUGGGUGGAACUGCUACAGAUGUAGGAAAGCCUUCAUAUGAGAAUAAGAAAACAGAAAAUACUUGGCAAAGAAAAAAAUGCUACUGUUAUAAUACAGGCUUAACUAAGCAAUGAAUAAUAACGAGAAAGUACAUCAAACAUCCUUAUUUACUUCUCAUCACAGAAGAAUGAGGUAUCACUUGAAAUGAAAGCAGCGAAUUUAAAUCGAAUACAAGGAACACAGUAUUUCACAUAACAUAGGAACAUAAUAAAAUAUUAACGUAACAGGGAACAUAAUGUUUCAUAUUAUGACUGAGUACAACUCACUGCUGUCACAAGGCUGCAGAGCCAAGGGCUUAAUACAAAUAACAGUAGCUGCUUAUAGGCACGACCAGAGUGCACACAGCUAAAGCAGAAAAGAGAACUUGUUUGUAAAGGAAUAAGUCAGGACCUGCAUGUACAGAGGUAGGAAGAAAUUUCAGUUACUGCUACAGAUGUACAAGUUGUGAGAUUUCCUGCACCUUGUACAACUCCUGAUGCUGGACUGAAUGCCCAGAGCUGUGACCCAGCACUGAAUUUGUUCUCCUAAUGCGUAUCACAAUACUAUGGCUCAUUGUCUCCAUGCAGAAGUUCAUCCAAACCACGGAUCAUUUCAUUAAAAAAUAGAUUACAUUAAGAACUAAGCCUUGAUUUUCCAUUUUGUUUCGUCCCAUGGUUUCAGAUUUUCUUUUUCAUGACCAGCGCAAAGAGACUUUAAAUUAUAAUCUAACUCUUGACAUAUACUGUAGUGUAUGUUUUAAUCAAGACUCCCAGAGGAAAGGAAAAUCUAACACUAUCCUCAAUCACUUUACAAUUUUGAUUAGUGUUUUUAUUUUUUCUUACUAAACAGCAAUAUUUAUCAUGCCUGCUUUCCACAAAGCCAUAUUUCAUUUAUUCCAGAUAUGCACAUUGAGAUGUAUAUCACUUAAGUAUGUCACAGUUACCCCUGAGUAUUAUUUACUACCUGCCUUUUUUCAGAAUGAUUAACAGCAUGUUGCAUACUCCCAUUAAACCUCCAUGUACAACACCACCACCUCUAAUGGAUCUGAAGUAGCUUAUUAGACCUCUGUGCUUCAAGGCAAGGCAUUUUCUCCUCAUACUGCCUUUUGAUUCUCAGCUCCCAUAAGUCUCAUCUUUCAAAAUCCUCUCACUUUUGGUGCUUUCUGUUUUGGGCAGGAGAGGGCUCCUAGCCCAUUACCUAUCUUUUAACAUCCCAUUUUACCUGUAUGUUAAACCUCUUCUUCUUAAGAUUGUAUUCUCACUGCUUCUAAAGAACUUUGCUAAAAUUUGGAACGAUUGAGAAUACCGACAGCAUCACAAGGCAGACCAUCAGUCCUGGCAACACACGCAGCUCUCUGGAUGUAUGACUCAAUAGUGGCAUUCAGUGACAAGUGAAACCGAGAUUUUGAGGGCUAACACAUUUCUGCAGGGCAGAUCCUAAUGGAAAAGUUUAAAAUAGAGCUAAUCAACAUCCUGGAAUCAUUUUGAACCACAUGAGGUUGCCUGGAAUGGCAGUCUAGAGGAAGUCAGUGUUUCCUUGUGAGGAUAAGUAGCUCUUGUACACCACACUUCCCAGCUACCAGCAUGUUGUGGCAUUUAUGUUGCAGCAAGGCUCAAAGUAUUCUGCAAGUUGUAAGGACAGCAAAAUAUAACUAACCUAGCAUACAAGGCUUAUGUGAAAACAAAGCAGCUGUAAAUCAUUGCUAGAUGUAUGUUAACAUUUCCUCACUUCGUUUGAACUUUGGAUUUUUCCUUAUUAUUAAUAAAUAACAUACUUUCCAAAUCGUGGGUUGUCUAGUUAGCAUCUCACUGAUUAUUUUGAAGGUACAACACAAAUACUGCAAUCAGGAGGUCACCAAAUUUCCAGUACUGAAAAUUCUGGAAGUCUCUAAAGUAAAUUACAAGUUCAGUUCUUUAUACAUUCAUUUCUGGGAGCAAAAAUACUUAUGUUUCAGGAGAGUAGCUGCAGCUUAUUCAGCAUGGCCCAUUAUCACAAAAUGCUAUAUUUUCAAAUGACAUUUUCCAGCCUGGGUAUUUCUGCCAAACCGACGUUGUUUUGUUCUUUUUUUUUUUCCAAUUUCAGACAAAACGGUUCAUCGGUUUCUGAGAACAAAGCUAGCAAAAAAUGUCCAGGAAAGCUCUGCAGCUCCAUGUUUCAGGCAAGAAAUCUCGAUCAGAGUAGCCUUUGUGUCAACAACGUGGCUAUAACCCUUUCAAAGUCCAUUUGAGUCAGUCUUAUAAAAUGCUGUUAAAACCUGCUGUUUGCACGGGCUCAGGAAAGAUCUGUCAGGGUUAAUGCUGGGCCUCUCCAGUUGUCACCAUCUCCAAACCGCACAUGGACAGCCCCACAACUUUCCAGGAACCAGUGCCAGUUUACAUGGGACAUUCCCUCCAUUCUGCCUGCCCCACAGCCACAUGGCAAACUCAAUCCAGUCACUUAUCUGAGUUAAAAGAUCCCAACCCAAUCAGGCAGACAGGAGGAAAAUACUCUUCAUCCAGUUUACGAUGGGGAGGCCAGGGUAAGAGCGUGCUGCAGGGAAAGAACGUUCCUAAAACCAGCAGAGUGAGCUGGAGCUGCAAGCUCAGGCCUUCCAGCCUGCAGACUCCAAGCCAUGGGCAGCCAGGAGGGCCCCAUCACAAAGCCUGUCAAACUGGAGCAAGACUGGGAAGUGAAACAAGGAAGGAAAUGACUGAAGUUUCACUAGCAUUUCUUCUGGCGAGCCACCAGUUUACACAACCCCUCAUCACCAGCUCCCUACCAAGCCUGUAGUUGCAGCAGUCCAAAUGGCACAUGGCCCUAAGAGGAGAGCCUUUUACUGGUGGUGGGCUGGUUCUAACCUAGACUAGGUUUCCUGUACAGAUACCUGUACUGCUCCACAGAGGAGGGAUGGGGACAGUGAGAAAGAAAGUAAAGAGGAGAGGGCAGCAGCUUAUACACUGCAAUGAUCAACAAAAACUAUCACCAAACUAUGCUUGAGAAGCAAUUCUGCAUUGCUUAGUGGAAGAAAAUGAAAAUUUAACAGAAAGUGAACUCUUCCAAGUCAAUGAAGAAGAAGCCAGCCCAGUGGGGAAGGAAAUGAGUAUACUGGGACUAGGAAUCUUGUAUGUCUGGGCUCAGACAAGUGAAAGAAGAAAAAGCACAUGAUAUCCUUUCCGGUGGAGGGAAGCUAUUUAUGUUGGCCCAGCUGGCCACGAAAUGGCAGCCUAUGGCUAGGAGGAAGAGGAAAGAGGGAGUUGGCUCAGAAAGGAUGCUUGGAAAUGGAGACUUGGACUGUUGGGCAAAGAACUGGAGGGCUGGAGGCAGACAUUAAGUUCACAGGGAAAUUAUUGGUUUGAAAAGGGGCUGUAUGGGAAUGAACCAAUGAUUGAGCACCUGGUGAAGGUACACAGCCAGCCCAGGGAGCACAGGUGAAAACAAUUCACCUGUGUGGCUGGAACCAGGUUCCACCUCUCCCUAAGCCUCAUUUAAGGGGUGGCUGCCCCAAGGGAAGGAUCUGUACCUGGAGAUCCUUCCUUUUGGUGUAUUUGUAAGACCUGAUCCUGGGGGUUGUACUCAAGGCAAAUUAAAAUAAUAAUACAUGAUAAUACAAGUAAGGAAACCCACGUCCACCCUGCUGAACCACACCGCCUCUUUAAACCAUGCUGAGAUGAGAGCUGCUGGUGAAGUACCCUUCAAAUCUCUGGUAUUCCUUGGAAAUUACAUAGCAACUUAUGAAAGCAAUGGGAACAUUACUAAUAUAACACCAUGUCAUCUCCUGAUAUCAGUGUAAAUGCCUUGGAUCACCACAGUAUUUUGAUAACAUCACAAAGAUAAAUGUUUCAUCCAUGCAUAAUUCCAACAGUGGAGGAUGAAUAUGGCAGCAAGACAGUUUGCAUUCCUGCAAACGUACCAAAGCUCAAUGGAUAUAACUGACACAAAAAUGUAGAAGUAUUUUAAAGAAGCACUGAAAGUCGGUGUCUGUUUCUGUGGAGAAAGAUUGAGGUGAGUGUGUCCAACCAUGCCAUAAAGAAAAAACCAAACUUACUUCAUAGUUUUCAAAACCUAUCCAGGGAGAAAGGAUUAUGGUCUGACUUCCAAUCCACAGUGAAUUAAUUACUUGUUUGUUACUGAGUACAAAAGAUUAAACUGAAGCUUUAGGCAGAGCAAGUCUGAUGCGGCUGUGCAUCAGUGAUUUCAACUGCUGGUCAUAAAAACAAAGCACCAUUUUAAAAGUUACCAAGCUUUCUUGGUGUUGUUCUAUGCCCAUCACUGGAUCCAGGUGCAGCAGUUCCAGAGAUAAACAGGUACCACAGCUUGCUCCUGCAUUCUCCAUCUUCACAGCCCCAUACAAGUCAUCCCCAAGAAGUCCAUUCCUAUGUACUCUAUACCAGGUAAUUCUUGCUCUCAUUACAAUUAAAACUGUGUGCUUACUCUGUGAUCUCUGCAAGAGACUUAUUAAAGUCAACUAACAGCAGCUCUUUGGCAGUACAAAAGCUAGUUUCGAGUACCUAAAGCAAGCCCAGUCAACAGAACCCUGGACUUUUUAUGGGUUACCUUCAAAAGCUCUGAGAUACCACUGAUACCUGCAAAUUCAUGAUGAAAAACCAAUAGGAAAACAAGUAACAGUACUAAAUAUUAAAUGCAAAGAGCACAGCUGUAUGAAACAGUUGAAUCCCUUGCUAGCUAUACUGCAGACAUGGACAGACGGGAUCGUGGAUUAAGGAAGAGGUAAUGAUAAAUAAAAGAGAAGGGAAUCAAACACAGUGAAAAUGCUGAUAAUUGAAGACUGUGUACUAGAGCUAAUGCUUUCAGCAAUGUUUGUCUAAAGCACAGUGCUCAGGGAAAGUGCAUUAGCAUCCCAAAACAAAUGCAAAGCCCAGUGCAACCAAACAGCUUCAUAUAAAUUUUAUGUUUCUGCAUUGAACAUUCAAAAGCUGUGAGGUGUGGAAGCUGUCUGCAUGGUAAAUUUCCGUCUAGAGAAAAUUUCCCCAGACUGAGGUUUCAAGCACAAAUGCAACAUGUUUUCCAUUAAUACCACUAAAAAAUUCUGCAGAUGUUUCAGGAUGAUGUUAUUGUUUAUAAAAAGUGACAAUAAUGCAGACAAAGAAAAGGUAAGAUUGUUCACAGUUCUUUAGAAACUGGGGAAUUUCAUGGUAAAAUACAGAGGUUAAUUUGGGAUCAGUGCAGACCAACAUGAACUUUUCGACCCUAUGAAGAAUCUGAGACACCACUGUAAGACCAGAAUAAAAAAGGUAAGGGAACAACAAUGAUUGAAAAGAGUUUAUGAUAUUUAUCCAAUCCUACAAGCAAGUUACUUUAUUUUCAGUCUAAGGUCUCAGUCCACAAAACUGUUCUGCAUGGGCAGCACUGUGCUUCACCCAUGCAAUACAAUUUGCAGGAUCAAAGAUUUCAGAAAAUUCUCAUGUCAGCCUAUAGGCAUCAUCUGAAAAGUUUUGCACUUUUCAUGCAGUGGAAAUCAAAGUUCUCAAAGUGUAUCUGAAAACUGUGAAUCCCCGUGACUUUCAAUGGCAUCUCAAGAGACUCCUGGCAAGCUCCUGCCUCCUCUGUGAGCCUCUAUGCUGUGCUUGCCAAGAUUGCAUUGAGCCUGUCCCUGGAACAGGACCAGGGAGAUGAUUUAUCUGGAGCGAUGGACUUAUUUCAGUUGGAUCAACUGUCCAGUCUUGCUCUUGCCAGCUCUACUGAGUGGUGGCAGAGAGCAGUGAAAAACAGGCAAGAGAAAGUAACACCUGCUAACUUUGACCUCAGCAUCUCUACCAAAGCAUGUAAGACCAAAGCAAAGCACUUAAUUGUUGUGAUCAGGUUAUUUCCCGCCAGGCUGCUCCUGCUCAACAACCCUAUGAUGUACGACGAAAUU